CCCGAUCCUCGGACGCGCGCACAUCCUUCUACUUGGUCGAUUUUAUAAUGCGAUAUCCCAGGACUAUGUAUCGCCGACCCUUUAUUUUUAUUAAGCACAUGCGGAAGCAGUUAUAAAUCCCCAGACAAUAAAACAAUGGGAUAGGAAAGCAGGCCAUAUUUUUCAUAUUGAAAUUCACAACCACACUUUCAUUAACAGCACCACUCAUAGUAUAUUUACAAUACUAUUUACAGCAUAAAAGUCUCACACCUAUCUAUACCAAGACAGGGUUCACAAAAGGGAUGGGAUCUCAAUCCACAUCCGGGUUAUAUUCAAGAUCCCUCUCUGGAUCUUCUUCUCCUUCAAAAGUCUUUCUCCCCUUGAGGUUCCUCUUCCUUAGCUUCUCCUCAGGGUCCUGAAAUGGUUAUUCAAUAACCAAUGAGACCACGUCUCAGCGAGUUCUACCCCCUAAGACCCGAUUAGUAAGAAAAUACGCCUUGAGGGCUGCCUAAGCACAUCAUGGGUUAGAGGACUUACCUUGGCCUCAGUUUCCUUCCUGCAAGUCAGUUCAAAUAAUAAAUACUGCCAAUCAUAGCAUCCAAUCAAUCAGAUCGACUUAACGAUCAAUCGACUCAGUCGAUUACAUGUCAUCAAAAUAUCACAUAGUCAUCCCGACUCUUCAUUCUUGACUCUGAAUCACGACCCUAUAGGCAUAAUUUAUUUUUAGUGGAAUCACGGCCCCACUCGGCAAAUUUUCUAGACUUGGUGGCAUCACGGCCCCACCUGGCAAUUUUCUCAACUUGGUGGCAUCACAGCCCCACCUGGCAAUUUUCUCAACUUGGUGGCAUCACGGCCCCACCUGGCAAUUUUCUCAACUUAGUGGCAUCACGGCCCUACCUGGCAAAUGUUCUUAACUUGGUGGCAUCACGGCCCCACCUGGCAAAUGUGCUUAACUUGGUGGCAUCACGGCCCCACCUGGCAAUAAUUAAUCCAACUCACAACCUCACACAGUUACUUUCCCUUCAAGUACCGACAUUUUCUAAUUUUGGGACAAAUUCUCAUAUUCACCAAUUUCACUGAAAUUUCACAAUCUGAUCCUCGAAUAAAUAAACAGAGAGCACCAUUGGAAUCAGCACAAAAUUUCGGUCGUCGGCUAUCCCAGCCUAAUUUC
rnacentral:lncRNA from 1 species